UACGGAGGGUGCAAGCGUUGCUCGGAAUCACUGGGCGUAAAGCGGACGCAGGCGGAACGUUAAGUUGGAUGUGAAAGCCCCGGGCUCAACCUGGGAACUGCAUUCAAAACUGGCGUUCUUGAGUUCAAGAGAGGGUGGUGGAAUUCCUGGUGUAGAGGUGAAAUUCGUUGAUAUCAGGAGGAACACCGGCGGCGAAGGCGGCCACCUGGCUUGAUACUGACGCUCAUGUCCGAAAGCGUGGGGAGCAAACAGG
rnacentral:rRNA from 1 species